AAAGAACCGAAAAUGGCAGCCAUGGAUGAGCUCCAUUCGGCCAAGCUUCUAUGGCUUAAAUAGGUACGGUUUUUGUCCCGUUUUUAAAGAUUUUCGUAUUUUUAAGAUCCUCGAAGCUUAAAUUUUCUAUUUCUACCAAUUGAUUGAAGAGAAAUUAGAGUUUAAAAAUUUACCCAUUCAUGAUAUGGUUGUGUUUUGAUGAUUUAUAGUGGAUAAUGAAUGUUUGAUGUGUUAAAUAUGAGUUUUAUUCAAUGAAUUUCGGUAAAAAUGUCAAAAAGGGGUUAAAUUGUAAAAGUUAUAAAUUGGUCAUAAGUGUGUGAAUUAGUGAAAAUUUGCAGUUGCCAUAGAAGAGAAAAAUGUUCAGCAUGUCUUAAACCUUAUAGAAAUUGAAUAAAAAAUUAUUUUACGAGCCUAGGGGUAAAAGUGUAAUUUUUGAAAAGUUAGGGGCAUAAUUGUAAAUUUUCCAAAUUUUGAUAUAUGAAUUGAAUUGGUUAGUGUGUUGAUAAAAUGUGUUAAAUAAGUGUUAUUUGACAUGUUAGAUCAAGAAAACUUGAAAUUUUGGAUUAAGAUCAGAGAAGAACAAAGUUGUGUGCUAAGUUAGGAAAGUUAGCCGUUUCGGCAUCUGAGGUAAGUUGGUAUGAUAAUAAUACUGCAAUAAUGUUAUUGCCUUGAUAUUAAACGAGAUGUAAGUUCAUAUGUAAGUAAUACAUCAAUUUUACUUGUAUUAUGAUAUUUUAUAAUAAUAUUGUAAAUAUGUUUGUUGAUAAUUACUUGAUUGGUGAAAUUGUUGGAAAAGAGAGAGAAAUCCCGGUUGAACCUUCAGAAAGAUUGAAUGAUACAGAUGGUACGUAGCUAGGUCAUAUGUAUGGUGUUAACUGCACAUCAUGUGUACAAGAAAGCUACGAGACAUUAUAAUGUAGCUAGGUCGCAUGGGUGAUACUAUGUGUACACCAUGUAGACAAGAGAGCUACGAGAUAUAUGUAGCUAGGUCGCAUGCGUGGUUCCAGGUGAAGGACACCAUGUAGACAAGAGAGCUACGAGAUAAACUGGCUAGGUCACAUGGGUGGUACUAAGUGUUCACCAUGUGUACAAGCGAGCCGAACUAUAUGAUGGGUGGAGCUAUGUGCUGAAACCACCAAGUAUCGAGUAUUGAUCCGAAGUGUUCAACAGGAGACUUACUAUGUACUGCUUUGUGAGUUUUGUGAGGAAUAAGUGCAGGAACUUAGUUAUGUGAAUGAUGUGUUCAUUAAGUGACUGGGAUGUGGCAAGGUUAUAAACAAGUAAGUUCGUACAUAUUAAGUAUUAUUAUAUUGAGCAUUUGAUGCGUUGGAAUCAUAUAAAUGGAAUAUUUAUGAGUAUUUUAAUGAUUAAUGAUUUAUCGACCAAACGAACGGCACUUAGUGUGCGAAGUAUUGAGGAUGGCACUUAGUGUGCAAGACAUCCGAAAUGACACAGUGUAUGAAGUAUUGAUGAUGACACCUAGUGUGCGAAACAUCCGGUAUAGCACUUAGCGUGCAAGACAUCGAUUGUGCAGCGACAUUUCGUGUAAGUAUGAUUUUGUUAUGGAUCGGUACAGGUAUGUACAUGUAUGUAUGAGCUUGUUAAUAAGCAUUAUUAUAAUUGAGAUUUAAUGCUGUAUAAUUGAAUUGUUGAUGAUUAUGAUUGUACGGAAGUAUUUUAUGAAAAUUUGGCAUUGGAAAUUCCUGUUGAACCUUAGGAAUAAAUUAGGAUACAAAGGGCAUGUCAUUAAAGUUACAUUGAUUUGGCUUCGGGCCAUGAUAUUGGCACUUAGUGUGCGAGAUUCCCGAGUAUCCAAUUUCUAUUCCAAAUAGUUCAACGGGUAUAUCGAAAAUAUGAAUGAGUAAUUUAGCCUCGACAGAUUUGAGUUACUGCAGUAGUGUAACUUUGAAAAUACACUAAAAAUAGUGGAAAUUGAGUUAGAGGCAGAAUAAAAUAUGGGAUUAAAGCUUAACGAGUCUAUAUUCACAUGAAAGAAACAGAAGAAGAAAAAGAAUUCCAUAUUGUGUGAUAUUUGAAUUCUUGUGAAAUAGGGUCUGAAUGAAUUCGAGAUCCCCUAUUCUGACUUUAGAAAUUCACCAAAAAUUGUACAAAAAUUAUUAACGAGUCUAUUUUUAGGGGAAAUAAACGUCAUGGUUGUUGGAAUUCUGUACAGGAAUAAAUUCGGUUCGUAGUGCACAGGGGUCAGAGUGGUCAUACCCUGAAACAUGGGAGACUUUAACUAAUAAACUGUACUAAUUUGCCCAACCAAAAAUUCUAGAAAAAAAUUAGUAAGUAGAAAUAUGAGUCUAUUUUAAGAGAAAUAGACGAAAACAUUAUUCGAGUCUUGUACUAUGAGAUAAUUGAACUUUAGUACAGAAGGGUCGGAACUGUCAGACAAUGAAUCAAGGGUAACUUUGAGGAAUAAACUGUACUAUUUGGCUUAACCAAAAAUUCUGGAAAUUUUAUGGAAGAAAGGAAAAUAAGUCUAGUUUCAUGGAAAAUUAACGGAAAUUAAUUCGGAGUUUCGUAGCUCCAGAUAUAAAUAAUUUAGUGACUAUGAUUCAGGAAAACAGCCUUAGCUGAUCUUGUGUAAAAAGAUGAAAUCAUGUGAUUAAUGAUUCUAUUUUCUUGAGCAUAUUUAUUGAGGAAUGGGAUAAUAUUGUUAAUUAAAUUGCUUAUUAUUAUUAAUAUUCCAACUUACUAAGCUUUUAAGCUUACACCAUUUUCCCAUUUCUCUUCGUGUUGUCAGGUUGGCUCGGGGUUGGAGAUCGUCGGAAGUAUCAUCACACUAUUAGUUUAUCAAAUUAGAAUAAUGGUAAUUCUUAUUUAUUGUCAAAUAAGUGGCAUGUAUAGAUAAUAAGUUAUUGAUAUUAG
rnacentral:lncRNA from 1 species